GUUGUAUGGUUAAGUGACUAAGCGUAUGCGGUGGAUGCCUUGGCAGUUAGAGGCGAUGAAGGACGUGUUAAUCUGCGAUAAGCAUUGGGAAGUUGAUAAAAGACGUUAUACCCAAUGAUUUCCGAAUGGGGAAACCCGGCACUCUUUGAGUGUCAUCUGCAACUGAAUACAUAGGUUGUAGAGGCAAACGCAGGGAACUGAAACAUCUAAGUACCUGUAGGAACAGAAAUCAAUUGAGAUUUCGUUAGUAGCGGCGAGCGAACGCGAAUUAGCCCUUAAGCUUUUUAUGAGUUAGUGGAACGGUCUGGAAAGUCCGGCGAUACAGGGUGAUAGCCCCGUACACGAAAACAAUUUUAAAGUGAAAUCGAGUAGGUCGGGACACGUGAUAUCUUGACUGAACAUGGGGGGACCAUCCUCCAAGGCUAAAUACUCCUAACUGACCGAUAGUGAACCAGUACCGUGAGGGAAAGGCGAAAAGAACCCCUGUGAGGGGAGUGAAAUAGAACCUGAAACCGCAUACGUACAAGCAGUGGGAGCCCCUUCGGGGGUGACUGCGUACCUUUUGUAUAAUGGGUCAGCGACUUACAUUCUGUAGCAAGGUUAACCGUAUAGGGGAGCCGUAGGGAAACCGAGUCUUAACUGGGCGUCGAGUUGCAGGGUGUAGACCCGAAACCGAGUGAUCUACCCAUGGCCAGGUUGAAGGUUGAGUAACAUCAACUGGAGGACCGAACCCACUAAUGUUGAAAAAUUAGGGGAUGAGCUGUGGGUAGGGGUGAAAGGCCAAUCAAACUCGGAGAUAGCUGGUUCUCCCCGAAAGCUAUUUAGGUAGCGCCUCGGACUUAUGCCACUGGGGGUAGAGCACUGUUUCGGCUAGGGGGUCAUCCCGACUUACCAACCCGAUGCAAACUCCGAAUACCAGUGAGUACUAUCCGGGAGACACACGGCGGGUGCUAACGUCCGUCGUGGAGAGGGAAACAACCCAGACCGCCAGCUAAGGUCCCAAAGUUAUCACUAAGUGGGAAACGAUGUGGGAAGGCUCAGACAGCUAGGAGGUUGGCUUAGAAGCAGCCACCCUUUAAAGAAAGCGUAAUAGCUCACUAGUCGAGUCGGCCUGCGCGGAAGAUGUAACGGGGCUAAGUGAUACACCGAAGCUGCGGCAAUGCGAUUUAUCGUAUUGGGUAGGGGAGCGUUCUGUAAGCGGUUGAAGGUGUGCUGUAAGGCAUGCUGGACGUAUCAGAAGUGCGAAUGCUGACAUGAGUAACGACAAAGCGGGUGAAAAACCCGCUCGCCGGAAGACCAAGGUUUCCUGUCCAAUGCUAAUCAGGGCAGGGUAAGUCGACCCCUAAGGUGAGGCCGAGAGGCGUAAUCGAUGGGAAACAGGUUAAUAUUCCUGUACCGACAUGUACUGCGAUGGGGGGACGGAGAAGGCUAAAUGGGCCAGGCGUUGGUUGUCCUGGUUUAAGUGUGUAGGUUGAUGGUUUAGGUAAAUCCGGACCGUCUUAAGACUGAGACACGAUAUCGAGAUUCUACGGAAUUGAAGUCAUUGAUGCCAUGCUUCCAGGAAAAGCCUCUAAGCUUCAGGUACAUGUUGAUCGUACCCCAAACCGACACAGGUGGUCAGGUAGAGAAUACUAAGGCGCUUGAGAGAACUCGGGUGAAGGAACUAGGCAAAAUAGUACCGUAACUUCGGGAGAAGGUACGCUGCUGACGGUGAUGGGACUUGCUCCCUAAGCUGUUGGCAGUCGCAGUGACCAGGUGGCUGGGACUGUUUAUUAAAAACACAGCACUCUGCAAACUCGAAAGAGGACGUAUAGGGUGUGACACCUGCCCGGUGCCGGAAGGUUAAUUGAUGGGGUUAUCUUCGGAGAAGCUCUUGAUCGAAGCCCCGGUAAACGGCGGCCGUAACUAUAACGGUCCUAAGGUAGCGAAAUUCCUUGUCGGGUAAGUUCCGACCUGCACGAAUGGUGUAACCAUGGCCACGCUGUCUCCACCCGAGACUCAGUGAAAUUGAAAUCGCAGUGAAGAUGCUGUGUACCCGCGGCUAGACGGAAAGACCCCGUGAACCUUUACUACAGCUUGGCAGUGAACAUUGAACCUACAUGUGUAGGAUAGGUGGGAGGCUUUGAAGCGGUGACGCCAGUCAUCGUGGAGCCAACCUUGAAAUACCACCCUUGUAUGUUUGAUGUUCUAACCUAGGUCCCUUAUCGGGAUCGGGGACAUUGCCUGGUGGGUAGUUUGACUGGGGCGGUCUCCUCCCAAAGAGUAACGGAGGAGUACGAAGGUUAGCUAAUCACGGUCGGACAUCGUGAGGUUAGUACAAUGGUAUAAGCUAGCUUGACUGCGAGACAGACACGUCGAGCAGGUACGAAAGUAGGUCAUAGUGAUCCGGUGGCUCUGUAUGGAAGGGCCAUCGCUCAACGGAUAAAAGGUACUCCGGGGAUAACAGGCUGAUACCGCCCAAGAGUUCAUAUCGACGGCGGUGUUUGGCACCUCGAUGUCGGCUCAUCACAUCCUGGGGCUGAAGUCGGUCCCAAGGGUAUGGCUGUUCGCCAUUUAAAGUGGUACGCGAGCUGGGUUUAGAACGUCGUGAGACAGUUCGGUCCCUAUCUGCCGUGGGCGUUUGAGAAUUGAAAGGGGCUGCUCCUAGUACGAGAGGACCGGAGUGGACGAACCUCUGGUGUUCGGGUUGUCAUGCCAAUGGCAUUGCCCGGUAGCUAAGUUCGGAACUGAUAACCGCUGAAAGCAUCUAAGCGGGAAGCAGGCCUUGAGAUGAGUUCUCACUGGGACUUUAAGUCCCCUAAAGGGUUGUUGAAGACUACGACGUUGAUAGGCAGGGUGUGGAAGCGUUGUGAGGCGUUGAGCUAACCUGUACUAAUUGCCCGUGAGGCUUAACCAUACAACCCCUAAGAAGUU
rnacentral:rRNA from 2 species